UCAAGAGUACGUGAAACCGUUCAGGGGUAAACCUGAGAAACCCAAAAGAUCGAAUGGGGAGAUUCAUCGUCAGCGGUACUGGUACGCGUGCGGUUCGCGAUGCCGGAGACUUCGGUCUCGUGGCACGCGUCCGCAUGUUUUUUAUUGCCUGGUAUCGUCGGCGUGCACUUCUCCCCUAGUAGGACGUCGCGACCCGUUGGGUGUCGGUCUACGGCCCGGGUGGGUGCCUGUCUCGUGUGCGCUUCACGGCGUCACUGCGGGGCAGACCCCCGGCUGCCCGACCGGCUGCCCGGCGGUACUCGCAAGGUAUCUGGCCGCAAAAAUUCGAACUGCGUCCGGCCCGUCGCAAGCGAGGAAAGUGUUUCCCGAAUGUACGGAUCUAAUGCCGUCAUCGGGCCUGGCCAGCUGUUGGUUGACGGUUGCCUAGGACUGGCUAUUACAAUUAUGAUACCGGUCAGCGACGCUACUGCUUUGGGUACUUUCAGGACCCGUCUUGAAACACGGACCAAGGAGUCUAACAUGUGCGCGAGUCAUUGGGAAUUAUUAAGCCUAAAGGCGCAAUGAAAGUGAAGGUCGGCCUCGCGCCGACCGAGGGAGGAUGGGCCGCGUCACGAUGCGGUCCCGCACUCCCGGGGCGUCUCGUUCUCAUUGCGAGAAGAGGCGCACCCAGAGCGUACACGUUGGGACCCGA
rnacentral:rRNA from 1 species